AGGGCAGGCUCAGCACAGCAGAUGUUCUGUGAUUGCAGGAAGUCAAGGCAGGGGGGCUCAGGGCCCGCGGCUCAGCUCUGCACCUAUGGCAGCCCAGGCCCAGCCUUGUGAAGAACGAAGGCCUCGGAGCGGGUCCCAGGUGCUGACGGUGCGGCUGGUCCAGGGAACUGUGGGAAGGGCGGUCUUGAUGGACGGUUCACCACAGCCUCGCGAGAGACAAGGGAGGACUCUGGUGCUCAGGGAGCAGAGGCCACCCCCCGAGGCCACACAGCUAGCAAAUGACAGAGGCAGGACGGGAACCCGCCAGCCACAGCCAGGCUUCCUUCUUUCUUAGGCUGAAUCACCUUCCCCUGUACGUCCGCACCGCACUGGUCUCCCCAGCCGCCCAUCGAUGCAGCCUGGGUUGCUGCACCGUUUGUCUCCUUUUUAUUGAGAUACAAUCGACAUACAGCACCAUGUAAGUUUAAAGUGCAGAGGGCAAUGGCUUGAUGUACAUAUAUAUUGUGAAAUGAUCACCACCAUAAGUUUAUUAGCAUCCAUCAUUUCAGAAAGAAAGAAGGAAAGAAAUAAAGAAGAUAAAGAAAAAAAGAAAAUGCUUUUUGCCUUGUGACAAGAACUUUUAGGAUCUAUUCUCUCAACAACCAUCAACCAUGCCAUGCAGCAGUUAGCCACACUCCUCAUGCUGGUGCAUCCCAUGAUCACAUAUCGGGGACUUAUUAUCUUAGGGCUGGACGUUCAAACCUUUUGACCACCUUCCUCCAACCCACCCCACUCCCCACUCCCCACCUCUGGUAAUCACAGAUUUGAUCUCUGUUUC